CAGUGCCUGGAUCUGAAAGGAGGUCUCAGUGCUGCUUUUCAGCACCCACUGUAGUUAUUUAGUAGACAUUUUGCUAUAGUGGAUUUGGUAUCUACAGUACAUGGAGAGAAAGUGGAUGAUUUCAAGAAUGAAAAGUCAAGCAUCUUGAUUAAAUGUUUCCAUUUCUUUGCAGUACUGGAAUCCUUUCCAGUUCCUUCCUCAGUGGGGCUUGCUUCAUUAUUGAAUGCCAGGCUUUGAUUUGUCAUCAAGCAACUGAUGUGAGAAAAACAAGCGAAAAGAAAAUGUAAUUUCCUUAAGAAGAAAAUGAUAAAAAAGGGAGAAGUGCAUUCUACACACAAAAGUCUGGGCAAAAACAAAGAAACAUGAGAAACCAUUGCGAAAAUAAAGGUCUACACAUCCCUGGGUGAAUACAGAAAAUAUGGAGAAAACAGGGAGGCCUAUAGGAGUCAUCACAACAAACAUCAUUUUGCCAUCCAUCGUGAAAUAAAUAGAAAAUUAUUU